rnacentral:rRNA from 1 species
GUGACCGCGGAGGGAUAUUA